rnacentral:rRNA from 1 species
GAUGAACGCUGGCGGCGUGCCUAAUACAUGCAAGUCGAGCGAACAGACGAGGAGCUUGCUCCUCUGACGUUAGCGGCGGACGGGUGAGUAACACGUGGAUAACCUACCUAUAAGACUGGGAUAACUUCGGGAAACCGGAGCUAAUACCGGAUAACAUGUUGAACCGCAUGGUUCAACAGUGAAAGACGGUCUUGCUGUCACUUAUAGAUGGAUCCGCGCCGCAUUAGCUAGUUGGUAAGGUAACGGCUUACCAAGGCAACGAUGCGUAGCCGACCUGAGAGGGUGAUCGGCCACACUGGAACUGAGACACGGUCCAGACUCCUACGGGAGGCAGAAGUAGGGAAUCGUCCGCAAUGGGCGAAAGCCUGACGGAGCAACGCCGCGUGAGUGAAGAAGGUCUUCGGAUCGUAAAACUCUGUUAUUAGGGAAGAACAAAUGUGUAAGUAACUAUGCACGUCUUGACGGUACCUAAUCAGAAAGCCACGGCUAACUAC